rnacentral:rRNA from 1 species
AACGAACGCUGACGGCAUGCCUAACACAUGCAAGUCGAACGAGACCUUCGGGUCUAGUGGCGCACGGGUGCGUAACGCGUGGGAACCUGCCCUUAGGUUCGGAAUAACUCCCCGAAAGGGGUGCUAAUACCGGAUAAUGUCUUCGGACCAAAGAUUUAUCGCCUUUGGAUGGGCCCGCGUUGGAUUAGCUAGUUGGUAGGGUAAAAGCCUACCAAGGCGACGAUCCAUAGCUGGUCUGAGAGGAUGAUCAGCCACACUGGGACUGAGACACGGCCCAGACUCCUACGGGAGGCAGCAGUGGGGAAUAUUGGACAAUGGGCGAAAGCCUGAUCCAGCAAUGCCGCGUGAGUGAUGAAGGCCUUAGGGUUGUAAAGCUCUUUUACCCGGGAUGAUAAUGACAGUACCGGGAGAAUAAGCUCCGGCUAACUCCGUG